rnacentral:rRNA from 1 species
GCGGCAUGUCGCGAGGUUAACCCGUUUUUGUGGGGUAGUCGUAGCGAAAGCGAAUCCGAAUAGGGUGGCAAGUGGCAUGUCCUGGACCCGAAGCGGGGUGAUCUACCCAUGGCCAGUGUGAAGCAGCUGUAAGAGGUUGUGGAGGCGCGAACCCACUUAGGUUGAAAACUGAGGGGAUGAGCUGUGGGUAGGGGUGAAAGGCCAAUCAAACUCCGUGAUAGCUGGUUCUCCCCGAAAUGCAUUUAGGUGCAGCGUGAUGUGAGCUUGCCGGAGGUAGAGCUACUGGUUGGUUGAGCGGGACUAUCAUCUUAGCGACGUCAGCCAAACUCCGAAUACCGGUGAAGUGGUGCAUUGCAGUGAGACUGUGGGGGAUAAGCUUCAUAGUCGAGAGGGAAACAGCCCAGAUCGCCGGUUAAGGCCCCUAAGGGUGUGCUAAGUGGAAAAGGAUGUGGGAUCGCGAAGACAGCCAGGAGGUUGGCUUAGAAGCAGCCAUCCUUGAAAGAGUGCGUAAUAGCUCACUGGUCGAGUGGUUCCGCGCCGACAAUGUAGUGGGGCUCAAGCACACCGCCGAAGCCGCGGCAAGUCCUUUGGACUUGGGUAGGGGAGCGUCGUGUGUGGGGUGAAGCCGUACUGGAAGGAGCGGUGGACUGCAUGCGAGUGAGAAUGCAGGCAUGAGUAACGAAUGGCAAGUGAGAAUCUUGCCCGCCGGAUGACUAAGGGUUCCUGGGUCAAGUUCGUCUUCCCAGGGUGAGUCGGGUCCUAAGGCGAGGCCGACAGGCGUAGUCGAUGGUUAACGGGUUGAUAUUCCCGUACCCGUAUGUGCGCGCCCAGUAUCGAAGCGGUGAUACUAACCACCCUGACCCGCUGGCCGUUGCCACUUUUCGAAGUGGUUGGUUGGUGGUGAUGCGUGGGGCCUGAUCCGUUGUAGGUCAGUGAUGGGGUGACGCAGUGAGGUAGCCGAGCCGCUUAUUGGAUUGCGGUGCAAGCGUGUGGCACGACACCAUGGUCAAAUCCGGGUGUCACAAGUGUGAGGCGUGAUGCGUAGCCCAUGUUGGGUGAUGUUGGUGAUCCUGGACUGCCGAGAAAAGCCUCUAGCGAUGUGCAUGUACGGCCCGUACCCAUAACCGACACAGGUGGUCAGGUAGAAAAUACUAAGGCGAGCGGGUGAACUGUGGUUAAGGAACUCGGCAAAAUGCCCCCGUAACUUCGGGAGAAGGGGGACCCACACUGGUUACCGGUCAUACGAUUGUGUUGCUGGUGUGGGUCGCAGAGAAGAGAGGGGAGCGACUGUUUAUCAAAAACACAGGUCCGUGCGAAGACGGUUAAGUUGAUGUAUACGGACUGACGCCUGCCCGGUGCUGGAAGGUUAAGAGGACC